GAAAUGCGAUAAGUAAUGUGCAUUGCAGAAUUCAGUGAAUCAUCGAAUCUUUGAACGCACAUUGCGCCCCUUGGUAUUCCGAGGGGCAUGCCUGUUCGAGCGUCAUUACAACCCUCAAGCUCUGCUUGGUAUUGGGCUCCGUCCUCACUGCGGAUGCGCCUCGAAGACCUCGGCGGUGGCUGUUCGGCCCUCAAGCGUAGUAGAAUACACCUCGCUUUGGAGCGGUCGGCGUCGCCUGCCGGACGAACCUUCUGAACUUUUCUCAAGGUUGACCUCGGAUCAUGUAGGGAUACCCGCUGAACGUAAGC
rnacentral:misc_RNA from 1 species